GCUUUUUGAGACCUGAAGCCAUGGCUACCGGGAAGAGACUCUUCAACUUGUUGCAUCCUGUGAUCUCAAGUCGACACAAAUUAGGGAAGCAUGGAGAUUGGAGAUCACUUCCUGAAAAUAUCUGAUCCUUUUCAUCAUCAUUAUCCUUAGCAACGAUUUGCUCCAAUUCCUCACAAGCUGAUAUCUCUAGAACUUUCAGUUGAACUAGACUAGCAAUCAUGCUGUCUGUGAAUACAUGUGUCAGUCUCUUACAGUCGUUCACCUUCAAAGUAGUCAAAUUGCUCGGCAGGAUACCCUUCCAUAUACACCUCAAGUCUGGCAAUAAGUUCAAGCGUAAUGUUUCCAAACUAACGAGUGAAAGUUCACGCCCACCUCUUCUAUUAGUUACCAAACGUCCAACUUGCAUUAAAUCUUGUACUCCUUCCAAGUUUCCAAUAGAUAUUUCUUUCAAAUUCAUAAACCCCUGCAUCAAAAGAAAACAAGGGUACCAAUUUGUUAGAUGUAAUUCAUAGUAAUUAUUGCGCACUUUUAAAACUAAAUAAGAGGCACGAAAUCAAGUCAAAUCAGCAGCACCUCUGAUUGAGCACUCAUUGAGUCAUUUGAUGUAGUAGCAGAUUCUGUGGUCAGCUUUGGGCAUCCAUCCACCUCCAACUUCUUCAAAUGAGGGAACAAGAAAUCAUAACAUCCGAGACUAAAGCAGGAAAUACUUGGUAAUUGUACAAGCAACAACUCCUGCAGAUCAGGGAGCAUCAUCUCCUUCUCAACAUUGACAGGUGAAGCAUGAUCAUCCUGCCCAAAUACUCCCAAUAAUUGAGAGGAUUCUCUUACUUUAAGUAUUUGGAGCUUUUUGAGACCUGAAGCCAUGGCUUCUGGGAAGAGACUCUUCAACUUGUUGCAUCCUCUGAUCUCAAGUCGACACAAAUUAGGAAAGCAUGCAGAUUGGAGAUCACUUCCUGAAAAUAUCUGAUCCUUUUCAUCAUCAUUAUCCUUAGCAAUGAUUUGCUCCAAUUCCUCACAGUUUGAUAUCUCUAGAACUUUCAGUUGAACUAGACUAGCAAUCAUGCUGUCUGUGAAUACAUGUGUCAGUCUGUUACACCUUUUCACCUUCAAAGUAGUCAAAUUGCUCGGCACUAGGCCCUUCCAUAUACACCUCAAGUCAGGCAAUAAGUUCAACUGUAAUGUUUCCAAACUCACGAGUGAAAGUUCAUGCC